rnacentral:ncRNA from 1 species
UGAAUAGUAAUGACGGAAAUAAGUAGGUUUAUGGCUACACCAUCCAGAGAGCCGGUGGCUGGUGCGAACCGGUUGGCGACAUAGACUGAAAUACCUUCCUGAACUGCGAGGCUGAACGACAGUAGGCUGAGCCGGAGUGGCGCUCGUUAAUGUGCUAUGAGUUGAUCUGAUUCGAGAUUAUUAGGGUGGUACCGCGGAGCAUUCCGUCCCUUGC